rnacentral:siRNA from 1 species
GCAACCAAAUCCGGAGUCCUG